GCUAACUCCGUGCCAGCAGCCGCGGUAAUACGGAGGGUGCGAGCGUUAAUCGGAAUUACUGGGGUAAAAGCGCAUGCAGGCGGUCUGUUAAGCAAGAUGUGAAAGCCCGGGGCUCAACCUCGGAACAGCAUUUUGAACUGGCAGACUAGAGUCUUGUAGAGGGGGGUAGAAUUUCAGGUGUAGCGGUGAAAUGCGUAGAGAUCUGAAGGAAUACCGGUGGCGAAGGCGGCCCCCUGGACAAAGACUGACGCUCAGAUGCGAAAGCGUGGGGAGCAAACAGGAUUAGAUACCCUGGUAGUCCACGCCGUAAACGAUGUCUACUUGGAGGUUGGUGUCUUGAACACUGGCUUUCGGAGCUAACGCGUUAAGUAGACCGCCUGGGGAGUACGGUCGCAAGAUUAAAACUCAAAUGAAUUGACGGGGGCCCGCACAAGCGGUGAAGCAUGUGGUUUAAUUCGAUGCAACGCGAAGAACCUUACCUACUCUUGACAUCCAGAGAAUUCGCUAGAGAUAGCUUAGUGCCUUCGGGAACUCUGAGACAGGUGCUGCAUGGCUGUCGUCAGCUCGUGUUGUGAAAUGUUGGGUUAAGUCCCGCAACGAGCGCAACCCUUAUCCUUGUUUGCCAGCACGUAAUGGUGGGAACUCCAGGGAGACUGCCGGUGAUAAACCGGAGGAAGGUGGGGACGACGUCAAGUCAUCAUGGCCCUUACGAGUAGGGCUACACACGUGCUACAAUGGCGUAUACAGAGGGCUGCCAACCAGCGAUGGUGAGCGAAGCCCAGAAAGUACGUCGUAGUCCGGAUUGGAGUCUGCAACUCGACUCCAUGAAGUCGGAAUCGCUAGUAAUCGUGGAUAAGAAUGCCACGGUGAAUACGUUCCCGGGCCUUGUACACACCAAACGGUCACACCAUGGGAGUGGGCUGCACCAGAGAGUAGAUAGCUUAACCUUC
rnacentral:rRNA from 1 species